rnacentral:rRNA from 1 species
CAAUGGGCGAAAGCCUGACGCAGCGACGCCGCGUGGGGGAUGAAGGCCUUCGGGUUGUAAACCUCUUUCAGCAGGGAAGAAGGGUGACUGACGGUACCUGCAGAAGAAGCACCGGCUAACUACGUGCCAGCAGCCGCGGUAAUACGUAGGGUGCAAGCGUUGUCCGGAAUUAUUGGGCGUAAAGAGCUCGUAGGCGGUUUGUCGCGUCUGCUGUGAAAACUCGGGGCUUAACUCCGGGCCUGCAGUGGGUACGGGCAGACUAGAGUGCGGUAGGGGAGACUGGAAUUCCUGGUGUAGCGGUGAAAUGCGCAGAUAUCAGGAGGAACACCGGUGGCGAAGGCGGGUCUCUGGGCCGUAACUGACGCUGAGGAGCGAAAGCGUGGGGAGCGAACAGGAUUAGAUACCCUGGUAGUCCACGCCGUAAACGUUGGGCGCUAGGUGGUGGGGCUUGUUUCCACGAGUUCCGUGCCGCAGCAAACGCAUUAAGCCGCCCCGCCGUGGGGAGUACGGCCGCAAGGACUA